rnacentral:rRNA from 1 species
CGUCCUAUUAGCUAGUUGGAGAGGUAAUGGCUCACCAAGGCUACGAUGGGUAGGGGUUCUUAGUGGAAGGUCCCCCACACUGGCACUGAGAUACGGGCCAGACUCCUACGGGAGGCAGCAGUAGGGAAUAUUGGUCAAUGGGCGCAAGCCUGAACCAGCCAUGCCGCGUGCAGGAUGAAGGCUCUCUGAGUUGUAAACUGCUUUUGUACAGGAGCAAAAAAGCCACUGCGGGGGUUCUUGAGAGUACUGUAAGAAUAAGCACCGGCUAAUUCCGUGCCAGCAGCCGCGGUAAUACGGAAGGUGCAAGCGUUAUCCGGUUUUAUUGGGUUUAAAGGGUGCGUAGGCGGCUUAUUAAGUCAGUUGUGAAAUCCUAGUGCUUAACGCUAGAACUGCGAUUGAUACUAUU